CUUUCUGGUUUCUAUAAGCAGCUAUCUAUAUCAGCCGCCAUCCCCCAAAAAAUAGUGGGCCAAGUGAAAACUCUUUUUGGUAUCAUAUAGCUCAUCAUUUUUAAAUUCUCCCAGCUGCUGUUUGUAUUAGUAGGAUGUCUUUCCUCGCAUGCUCUUCCACAAUUGUAAUAAAACAUCCUGGCAUUUCCUUUCCCAGUGGAGAAGCCCUAACAGAGACCCGACCACAUUACCAGACUCCCAAGCUCCUGUGAUUAAAUAAGUGAUUGCUCUGCCCAUCUUUAAAAAUGUGUCUCAUAUAAGGCCACCAAGACACAGUAUCCAUCAUUGCAAAGGGAGCCAAGCAUUUAUUUUAAAUAAUGAGAUAUCCUCGUUUUCAUUUUUCCCUGAGAGGAUUGUAGCCAUGUUUAAAAAUUCCCUGAAUUCUAGAACUAGGGCAACACAUUGAUUUGAAGAAAGCUAUAAUCUUUCCUUCUAAUUUGAAGUGCACGUUUUCUGCAAUGAAAGAGAGUGUAGCUUGCAGAAUAGCAAGAGCCCUAAACCCACACAAAGGCAUCCUCAUCCCAACCACUCCUCUCUCGAGUUGGCCCCAUUCUUCUGGAUGCAGGGAUUUACAAAGACCUUUUCAAUAAAUUUCAAGGUAUAUUGAACUGAAAGGAGAAAGGUUCAAAUAAUUUCUUCCAGAUGGGGGAGGGAAGUGAUUUCAACUGCCAAGUCAAUUUCAACGCAUAUUACUUUUUGCUUUUUGCCACUUCCUUGUUGCAAGUGAUCCGUGGGGUAAGUUCAAUUAUGGGAUCUCUUUGAAAGGAUUCACAAUUAAAUUUUUUAAAAGGAACAUAUUAGCUCUUUGUCUUUCUGAGCCAGAGGAGUCAGAACGCCUACUUCUACAAGCAUUCAGGGAUUUCAGCAUCUGUGGGUACGGUGCCUUCUAUGGCCAACGAGGCUUACUUCAAAGAAAGGCUGGGAGAGAAAGCCAGCCCUCUGUGAUUUGGAGAGAUAAUAAGUUAGCAAGCUGUAUCACAUAAUGGUUUAUGAAAUUCUUCCUUCAAGGACCAUUAUCUAGUGUUAAUAGCGCUUUAUUUCUUCCUCUCCCGUGCUUAUUUAGAGCAUAAUUACAAGAGAGCAAGAGGAAAGGAGGGAGUUAGCCGUCAAAAUAACUGUUCACCAAAUUAAUGCAGCUGAGUAGACUCUCUGGCCUGUGGGGCUCCUUUAUCAAUUAGUUCUGUUGCGGACUGCGUUCCCAUAUUUCCCCACAGAAUGAAGGUUCUUUGAUUUCACUGAUUCACCAGCUCUGAGGAAAUCAUUUGAGAAAAAAAACAUUUUUCAGAACGAAUCUCUUUGACCGUUCUCACUCUCGUGAUGUGCUGUACAGCCAGCUUCUCAUUCAUUUCAAGAGCAUUUCACAAGGACUAGUAUUAAGCCCUUUCUCUCUCUCUCCCUUUCUAAAUUUUGGUCUUCUUUUCAUCCCUCUCUUUUAACUGGUUAAGAAUGGGCUUAUUUAUUUCAACCGGUUUAUCUUUCUACACCAUGGUUUUAAAAUUAACUAUGUGGGAAGUUCCCAUCAUGGUUCAGCAGUUAGCAAACCCCACUACCAUCCAUGAGGACAUGGGUUUGAUCCCAGGCCUCAUUCAGUGGGUUAAGGAUCUGGUGUUGCUGGGAGCUGUGGUGUAGGCUGCAGAUGCAGCUCAGAUCCUGCAUGGCUGUCGCGUGGGCUGGCAGCUGCAGCUCUGAUUCGACCCCUAGCCUGGGAACCUCCAUAUGCCCCAGGUGCAGCCCUAAAAAAGCAAAAAAGGCCAAAAAACAAACAAAAACACACAA